rnacentral:lncRNA from 1 species
GAUGGAUAUUGCCUUUCUUAUUGGUGCACCUCGCAAAGUUUAUUUAGGAUCUGUUUGGCUCAGCAGCCGGAGAAAUAAUUUUUGCAUAAUUAAUUUUAGUUUGAAAAAUUAAUUUUGGUUAUAAGCUGUAGAGCGUUGGCUGAGUUUAGAUGCAAAGCAAUUUUUUUGAAGUAAUUUUGUAAAACUGUUUUGGCAAAAAAAUUUUAUUAUUUGCAAAUAAUAAAUUUUUUACUAAAUUUUAAAUUAUUUAAAUUUAAAUUUUGAAAGUUUAAAUUUAAAUCUAAACAAAAUUUAAAAUUUUAAUAUUCUAAUUUUAAAAAUAAAAAGUAAAACUUAAAAAUUAAAACAUUUCCAUUUAAAAUAUAAAAUAUAAAAUAUAAAUUUUAAAUUUUAAAUUUCAAAUUUCAAUUUAAAAUCUAAUUUUAAAUUUUAAAUUUUUAAAUUUGAAAGAAUUUUAAACUUUGACAAGUCAACAUAUAAAACUUAAAAUAUAAAAUAUAAAGAGGCAAUUGCUUAUAUACCUCUGAAAAGUUUCUGAUUUUCUAAUUUACCCCUCUUAGCAGGUUAAUAUUGAAAAUACUCUUUUUACAUUCCAACCUAUUAGCAAUAUACUCCAAGAGUUAAAUUCUAUUAAUAAACUGUUAGCAAUAGCUGUGAUCUCUAUAAAAUUACUAUUUUACCCUUUCAAAUAUACCUUUCUACCAUCACCAAUUUUUCUUAUUUGCCCUUAAGUUAGGGCUACAAAAAGUAUUUUGAUUUUUGGUCUUUUCAAAUAAUUCCUUCUACCAUCACCAACAUUUCUUAUUUGUCUUUAAAUUAAGGGCAAAAGAGGCAUUUUGAUUUUUUUAAACUCUGGUAGAUAACUAGUUUACGUUUAAUCUAAGUUAACUUAACGGGUGGCAACUGUAGAGGUAUUUUGGAAUAACGGAGGAACAUAUGAGGGUUAUAUUGGAAAGAAAAAAAAAAAGUAGGGAUAAAUGAAAUAUUUUCGAAGUUUCGAAGGGUAUAUGAGCAAUUAUCUCAAAUAUAAAAUAUAAAAAAUUAAAUUUUGAAUUUUAAAAUUUAAAAUUUGAAAUUUGCAAAUGAAAAAUAUAUUUUCAAAUUUAAAUUAUAAAUUUUCAAAAUUUAAAUUUUAUCUUAAAUUUAAAAUUUAAAAUUUAAAAGUUGAAUUUUGAAAUUUAAUAUCUAAAUUUAAAAUUUAAAAUUU